UCCUCCCAUCUCUGUUUUCAUUUGGAUCCAGCUUCAGCUUGCUCCUAGUUUAUGGUUAAUCAAUAACUUGCUUUCUAUAGAGGCUCCAGUGACUGGGUCUCGGGUGGCCGGCACUUAGUCUGGCAAUCCCAACAGGAAUAAGAAUGUCUCUUCUCUUGGGUGAGAAAUGACCAAGACUCUUUGCUGGUUGUUUUAAUUUGUCUGCUUGACUUCUGGCCUCCAGAACUGUGUGGCCAUCUGCGACACAAAGUAUGACCUUUCCAGAUGUGGGCAGCGUGUCCGUUCUUCUCCUGUAACUGAGUCUCUAGGAGGGAAACUGCAAGAGUGGUUGCACCUUUGGAUCCUAUGAAAUGGAAGUUCCUUUUGCUACAUAGAGAAAGUUUUGAAGAUACACUGGUUGGGAGUCCCAGUCUAUUAAGUCUUGGGGUCUGCAUGAAUGCAAGCAUGUGGAGCCUAUUUCAGAUGGAUGAAGUCAUACAACCUGCUAGGGAAAUUGAAACUUCAAGGCUUGUGAUGGUACCUGAUUAAGCAGCCUCAGAGCCCCGAGACUCACGUUCCCUGAGAUGUUCCACUUCUGCCUUUCCACGACAGUGCAGUUAUUUGCAAGGGUUCGUGGGACAUUUCAUUCUAAAGUUCUGAGAUUGACUUUUAAAAGUCACCGGUGCAGCUGAGGCCAGAAGACCUUGGCCUUGGAUUGCCAUGUUGACUGGCCACCUUUAAGCUAUGAGAUGCUCUGCCUGGAAGAGCUGUGGCUUACCUCUGGGCUCAGUGUUUACAGAGAUCGGAGGCAGAUAUAAUCCCAGGCACCCACUCUCUACAGCAGGACAGUUCCUGUCUAGAAGGGUCACCUGGGACAUCAGGUGGAAACCUAUGGCCUUGACCUCUAGCCUGGAGAUUAGAUGAUCAAGUAAUGGAGUCUGUAAACACCCGGACUACUCGGAUGUUUCAAAGGAAGUUCUGGACAGAAGUCAAGACUCUGGACUUGGAAGCUUUUUCAGUCCAUGUAUUAAAGGGGUACUUUUUGGUGACUUAAAACCAUUUUGGAAAAUAAUCAGAUUAAUACAGAGCAAGACCAGCCAUUUUUCAAGGCUGAGAAUGAUCUGUGGAGAUUAUCUAUGAUCCAAAACAGAUGGGAGGAUAUCAUUAAAAACUUGUAAAUAAGGCCCAAAGAGGGUGGGUCAUAUUCUCCCACAUUAAGAGGGAGUAAUGUUUGCAUUUGGGGGGGGGUUCAUGAGUGACAUGGGAAGCUGGUAUGUAUUUGCUUCACCCACACACAGUCAGACACGGAAUAACAUGUAACAUGCAGCUGUCUCUGUCUGUCUCUGUCUCUGUCUCUCUCUCUCUGUCUCUCUCUCUCUCCCUGGCUAAGAUAUAAUUAGCUAAAGGCUAUAUUUUAUUGUUUGCAAGCUCUUCCAGCCUUCUGUCUAACACUGAGUUUACUUUAGGGCAGUGGCCAACUGUGUACCUCCUGUUCUUCAGGAUAAAUUCUUAAGUACCUUCACCAUCUUA